CCUAAAACUCGGACCAAGAAAAGUCGGGCCGGGCCUCUUUGAUUGAAAAUAUAUAUUUAACGAUGAAGUAAAAAGAAAACUAUGACUACGUACCGAGAGUCCCAUAG